GUCCCCUUCGUCUAGUGGUUAGGACACCGCCCUUUCACGGCGGUAACAGGGGUUCGAAUCCCCUAGGGGACGCCA
rnacentral:tRNA from 1 species